GCAAGUCGAGGGGUAACGAAAGUAGCUUGCUACUAGGCGACGACCGGCGCACGGGUGCGUAACGCGUAUGCAACCUACCUUUUACUGAGGGAUAGCCCAGAGAAAUUUGGAUUAAUACCUCAUAGUAUCAUAAAUGUUCAUGCAUUAAUGAUUAAAACUUCGGUGGUAAAAGAUGGGCAUGCGUAAGAUUAGCUAGUUGGUAAGGUAACGGCUUACCAAGGCAACGAUCUUUAGGGGGCCUGAGAGGGUGGUC
rnacentral:rRNA from 1 species